UAGCGAAGGGGGCUAGCGUUGCUCGGAAUCAGCUAGGGCGUAAAGGGCGCGUAGGCGGUCGUUUUGAAGUCGGGGGUGAAAGCCUGUGGCUCAACCACAGAAUGGCCUUCGAUACUGGGACGCUUGAGUAUGGUAGAGGUUGGUGGAACUGCGAGUGUAGAGGUGAAAUUCGUAGAUAUUCGCAAGAACACCGGUGGCGAAGGCGGCCAACUGGACCAUUACUGACGCUGAGGCGCGAAAGCGUGGGGAGCAAACAGG
rnacentral:rRNA from 1 species